rnacentral:tRNA from 1 species
UCCCUGAUGGUCUAGUGGUUAUUACUCUGCUUUUCCAAUGCAGGAGGCACAGGUUCAGUCCCUGGUUGGGGAA